ACGCUCGACACCUACGGGAGCAGCAGUGGGGGAUAUUGCACAAUGGGGGAAACCCUGAUGCAGCGACGCCGCGUGGAGGAAGAAGGUCUUCGGAUUGUAAACUCCUGUUGUUGGGGAAAAAGAGGAUGGUACCCAACAAGGAAGUGACGGCUAACUACGUGCAAGCAGCCGCGGUAAUCUGAGCGGGCUGGCAAGGC
rnacentral:rRNA from 1 species